AUAUAAAAAGCAACGAUGACGACGACGGGAAUGGCAACAACAAACUCACUUAAUGUUUGACUGAGUGUAUAAAUGGAGGAAUGAAACAAGAUGACACUCUUCUUUAAAUUUUAAUUGCACUCUUUUAUUUGUACAUUUAUGGCAAAUAUAAUUUUUAUUGUCAUAACUGUAGCACCACGGUCACAAAAGAAGAAGGCUUAAACCGCCGAGCCAUCACCACCCUAAUGCAGCGGCAUAAAAAAUGUCGUGCGACAACCACCAUCACUAUUUGCCGUCACGGAAAUCAACAGCACAGAAGUACAUGCAUAGAGGAAACAAACAAACAGUCUGAUGCAUAGGCCUAGACAUAAUUUUUUUAUCUUUUUAAGUAAAAGCCAAGAAGCCAAUUUCAAUUCGGGUGUUUAUGAAAUAAUCACCAGAAAGCGAGAGCGAGCGCAACCUUCAUCACAGCCCCCCGGUACAGACAUGGUGGCGUUGAUGACGGGCGUACCGAGGGACUUGCAUCAGCUGCGCCGGUUACCGUGCAACAGAGCUGGGAAAUUUUUACGACUUCUUCCGUUUGAUGGCUUUUUGUGGGCUCGGAAUGUGUUACGUUUGUGAUUAUAAAUCUGGGCAAAUAAAGUCGUGAACUAUGUAAAACAGCAGCAAACGCACAAUGAUGAUGACGACAACAACAGCAACUACAGUGUGCAUAUGGCUGUGUGUGUGUGUGAAUGUGAAUUUUAACAUACGUUCUGGCAUGGUCAUAAAUCCAUAAAAGUAAAUAAAACUUCCGUAAGUAACAAGUGGGCUUUGCUGCUUUGCUAACUUCAUGUACACGUCCCUCCUCGAGUCAGUCGAACGGCCGGUCGCUCGCUCUUCUCGGUCGGUGGGACUGCUUUUUUGGUGGAAAAUCAAAGCGGAAAGGUGUUAAAUAUUAAAUCUACUCUGGCGUUUAACCACAAUACAUCCACCGGCUGGCUGCCUGUCUGACUGUUGGGUAAUAAACCAAAGUGUGGCAAAGUGUUUAAUUUGUUAUUUAUGAGCAAUUAAUUUUAAAUAAGAGACCAUUAAAUGCACCCAAUGUUUGGCUGCCGCUCAAUGAGGAGAAUGUUAUGGAUCGAUCUAUAAUGAAUGGUGGUUGUUGUUGGAUGCACGCACUGCUCUCGCCAUAAAGUGCAGGUUGUCGUUUUUUACGACGCUAACCCCCAUUAAGAGCCAUUGUCCUGCGGCCAUUAAAUAAUGUGCCUUCAUAAAUGAUAAGAAUGUAAUCAUUGUAAAUUUUAGUAGGAUCAAAUAAUUGAUGUUUCUCUCCUCCUAUAUGCUUCCAUUAAACUCGAGUGUAUGUAUGUUUGCCACCAGAUUUAUAUACCUUUAAUAAGAAAUAAAACUAAUCGCAAUAUUACUCAAUAAAUCUGUUUAUAGUGCA